GACGGGGGGGGCAAGUGUUCUUCGGAAUGACUGGGCGUAAAGAGCGCGUAGGCGGUCCGGUAAGUCCGCUCUGAAAGUCCGGGGCUCAACCCCGGGAGGCGGGCGGAUACUGUCGGGCUAGAGUCCGGAAGAGGCGAGUGGAAUUCCUGGUGUAGCGGUGAAAUGCGCAGAUAUCAGGAGGAACACCUAUUGCGAAGGCAGCUCGCUGGGACGUAACUGACGCUGAGACGCGAAAGCGUGGGGAGCGAACAGG
rnacentral:rRNA from 1 species